CCUUGCUUGCAGCAUGGUAGAAACCCUACUCUGCUCUGGCUGCUCCAGGACCCUUGGCAGCAGAUCCAUGCACGCCUCAAGGCAUCUCGACUGCAAGAGGGAUUUGUUCUGUGUCCGUACUGACUCUGUUGAAAGAAUCCACGGCUGUCUCUCAGGGUUCUAAAGGAGUGCUGUGUUUGGAUUUUUGGCUUCAGAGUGGGAAGUGCUCUGUAACCUGAUGUAACCUGUGGCAUCUCAGCUGUAGGCCAGGAACCCUGGAAAAGCAAGCUCGCAUUCACGAGGAGCCGCUUCCUCUUGAAAGCCCAGCUGUCUUGCAAGAGGUGCCGCACAGGGUAGGAAGAGUUGGGAGCGAACAGUCUGAGGAAGUGGACUGUGGAAGCUGAAGGUUGUCCAGCCAAAGCUGAGUGUGUGGCUCUGACACUGACCAAGGCUGGAAAGAGUUACUGUGUGGACAGAGAAUGUUAGAGCCGGGUGAGCUUUCACAGGAUGAAAGAAGCGAGGAGAGAAUCGAAUGGAAAGAAUUGCUGAGAUCAGGUUUGAGCCCUUUCUUUGGGUUUGGGAUUUGUUUGUGGUUUUUUUUGUUACCUAACACUACCUAGCACUUACUUACUUACUUACUGUGAGAUUUGAAGUUUUCUCCAAAAACUCAGAAUGAAUUUCCCCACUCUGCCCCACUGGUAGCAGCACACAGGAGAACAGAGCCUGUGGUUUGGAUCUUGAGGGAGUUCCAGCAGUACAAGCUAUGAGUUACCAUGUUUCUCCCAAAUUUACAUCCAGCAAAUCUGAGGAAUUACCUCUUGCCUGAGCAUUCCUGGUCUCUGUGACUCUUUAGUAAGAGACAGCUGGGACUGGCCAAGCUGAGACAGGAUCUGUUCCUGUCAAACCAUCUAUUUCCCACGCGGAUGAGAAUCUGGGGGGCAAGUGCCCACAUCACUCCUCACAAAUGCCCACACAUACUUCUGGGGCUGCUGUAUCUAUCUGCUGGAUUUGUCAGCGCCAGCAUUUGCGAAGGAUCACCUUGUGAGCAACUCAAAAGACACAUAAAUAGAGGCAGCAGCAAUUGUCUUGAGUUUACCUUAUGGUAAGGCUUAUGGAUAUUUUUAAUCACUAUAAGAAGGCUUAUGGAUAUUUUUGAUCACUUUCUUAGCACUUGCAAUUACCCCUGCUACCACACAAAAGAAACCGAGGAACAGGAAAGCUCCGCUCUGUAUCUCUGGCAGAAGAAAAGCCAGCAAACCAGUUUGCGUUCACCCCGAUUCCUAGUCCUGUGCUGCAAGUACAGAAAUAUCUUGAGCCUUUGGGAGGGGGACUGGGACUGUGGAACCCAGCUGCAUGUGUCUCCUAGGCCACGUUUUUCUUGGAAGCACCUUUCCUAGUUUCACUGCUUUUUGGAAAUGAACUGUUCUGAGCAGAACCAGUACCUUCAGACUCAGGGUCUGAAAACAAAACAAAACAACCAUAAAAACCACUAAAAAGCCCCCAAACCCACUGCCUAAGAGAACAAAGAAAGAGAAAAUAUACCGGGAUUAUUUUAAUAAACCUGAAUUUGUGGGAGGCACUGGGUUUGUUUUCCCUUCGUGCGGCAGCACGAAGUUUGCACGCAUUUUGCUGCCGCUUUGGCUCUCAAGAACUGGAAAUGCCUGGAUUUCUGCGUGGUUUCCCCAGGUUCUCCUAUUUAGCAGGAGCUGCACGGUGAGGUCGGUGUUCUGAGGGAGGCCCUGGCACAGCUGCCAAAGGCCGGGAACGUGGAGUGUGCAGGGAGCAUCCGGGGGGCUUCUCCCCCCUGAGUUUCUCCCGGGGUGUGCUGCCUGCACUGCUGGAUGUUGGACCCGGCUUUGGGCCGUUCUCCUGCGGUCCCAGCACUGAGUGCUGCCCCUGUGGCCAGACCUUGCCGUGUGCCGGCACCAAACCCGGGCAGCCGGGGCUGCUUUUCCAGCCCUUUGGUGCCACGGGCGGCCCCCGAUUGCCGGAGCUCCCCGGCACCCGGCCUGGACUCACUCUGUGGGGGGGCUUGUUCCAUCUGCCUCAACCGAGGACAUCCUGCCCAGGUUUGACACUUGACUCCCGUUGUUUUUCCUCUUGCAGGCAGCUGGCAAAAGAGGAGAGAGCCCCUGCGAGGCAGAGCCCCUGGAAUGCCCUGUCCUGGUCUGAGGUUCCCACUUUUAUCUCCGACUCCCGGAGAAUUGCUGGAGCAGAACCAGAGAGUGUCCAUUUUAUUUCCUGCCUUUUCCAAUAAACGGUGACUUUCAGCUGGAGUGUGUUCCUGGUGUUAUCCUCCUCCUCCUCCUCCCUGGAUUUGUAAAUAAAUGUCCUGAUUUUGGCCAAGUAGAAUUUUGUUGUUCCAGGCAUUGUGGCUCUUUUGUUUCAUUGAAACUUCCCAACUCUGCUGAGACUUUGAGAUGUCAAAUACAAGUAAGACUGGAGUUUCUUGGGAUUGUUACUCACACAAAAUAGGGAUCCUUCUUGGACAGGAGUAACUUGACGUGUUUAAUGCCGCUUCCCUUUAAAAUCAGAGCAGGGGAAGCAGAUUUGAAAUCAUCAUUCCAUGAACUUGCACCAAAUUCCUCCAAAGCUGCAAAAGUUUUCCUUGUUAGAAAUUCCUGAGCUUGUUUUCCAGGCAAGCUGAGAUUUAGAUGUUCUUUGUUCCUUGGAUUUGCUGGUUUUCCUCUCUCUCAUUUUAGUAAAGAAUUUUUUUUUUUUCAUAUUUUCCAUGCUGAUUGGAAUUUUUGUACUGCUCAGGGCACGUUGCCAAGGAAAUGUACCAAUUUCAUGUUGGUAAAUCAGGCAUUGUUCAGCACCAUAUGCCCACAAGUCUGUAAAUUUCCAGGGAAACUUGCUAAGUGUUGAAUUGCCAUAAUGAAUCUCUUUGUAAAGU